rnacentral:lncRNA from 1 species
UCUGAAAAUACACCCAACCCUAGCCGCCCCUUCUCCUUUACUAUCUCAUUCACACCCACUCUUUCUCGCAGAGAACAUACACUCUUUCCUUCUCGUUUCUCUCUAAUUUCGUCAACACACACACGCAAUUCAGGGAGCUAAAGGAAAAAUCAUAGACACACCUAGAUAGAAAAAGAAAAACUCUACCUAUUUCUAAAAUUUCAAUAAUCUGGAUAUUUGGCAAGCUAAAACGGGAUCCCAAGCUAUUUCAGUUUCAAUUCAUCUACACUUUUUUUUUUGAAAAUUCAAAUGACUUAUUGAGCUGUGAAAUACUGUCUGACUACUGAUUUGCCGGGUCAUUGUUGCUGAGCUACUCGCGUAUCUUUUCUGGCCUUUAUUUGUCUAUUUUGAAAUCUUCACUAGGCUGUUGAGGUAUGAACUUGAUUUUCAGUCAUGUAAUUAUUUGAUUGGAUGUUGUAAUGGCAUGAAUUUGCAAUAAUCUUUUCUCUGUUUCAUGUGUUCAAAAUGUUUUCUAUUAUCACCUGCCAAACUAAUUUAAUUUUGAACUACUCGGGUACAUGAAAGUAGUACAGAUUCAUGUAGAAAAGGUACUAUGAUGUUUGCACAAGCAUUCAUAUUGCAAUUAAUCCGUGCUCCACAUGAACAUGACUGUUUAUUUAAAGUAUGAUUUGAAAGUGAAAUUUUUAGGUUAAUUCGAGAAUAUAAAAACAAUCAGCAUCAAUCCAAGAAUUUGAUUAGUGUUAAAUGGACUUGGAAUGAUAAAACAGGGGUGAAAGAGGCAAUUCAUGUUUUCUUAAUCAUAUUAUUUGUCACCAAGUUUUUGUCCUUUCCUGUUAAAGGUUCAAAUAAGCAUUAUUCAUGAAAUUGGGCGCACGUACACUGAUUUCCCCAAAACAAUUCCAUAAGUGAUAGCCCUAUACAUUAAUCUCAAACUUUAGGAAAAAUAAAUAAUUCUUUGAAUAUCGUAGCUUGCUUUAGACGCGAUUAAUAAAUUAUCGUGGUCAUGGGUACGGUUCUCGUGGCAUGGUCACAAUACAUAAAUCCCAAUUCGAGUGCGCGUUUCACGCGACUUCACCCUAACUUCAAAUAAUAAUAAAAUAAAUAUGUUGUGAAUCACAGGUGCAUUUCACGUGACACGAUUUACAAUAUGUACAAAAAUGAGUGAGCGACAUCGCGACUCGUUCAAAUAAAUUCUAUAAACAUUAAAGCGGUUAAUUAAUUAAAAGCGGUUAAAAGUUAAAAAUACACAAUAGAUAUUAAACAUGUAAUAAAUUAGAUAAUUAGGAUAAUUAUUAAUAGUUGAGCGACCGUGCUAAAACCACGAAACUCGGGAGUGCCUCACAUCUUCUCUCGGGUUAACAUAAUUUUUUACCCGAUCUUUUGUGUUCGCGGACCACGAAUAAGAGUCAAUUUUCUCGAUUUGGGAUUUUAAAUAAACAGUGACUUGGUACACCAUAAAUUAUUCCAAGUAGCAACUCUGAUUUAAUAAAUAAUCCAAUUUUGAUUAAUGUCACUUUAAUUGGAAAAACUCCCUAUUCCCAUAUCCUCUCGGAAAAAAGGAGGUGUGACAGCUCUGGCGACUCUGCUGGGGACUGGACCCAGAAUCUCUGGUUCAGGGUUCAGAAUUUGAGCUUAAAAUAACUAUUAUAUUCGACUACUUGUGAUUGUCUGAUAUUACUUGUUUGAGUCUAAUGUGCUAAUUGCCGCUUUUUACUGUUUUGAUAUUAUUUGAAUUGUAUAUAAAACUGUUACGAUACCCUCCUUCUCUCUAAGUUUUCUAAAUCUUCUAGGAAGUGCACGUUGGCGUGACUUCUUUUCUAUUAGUGUCAUACCCUAAUUUAGAAUGAGGAUCAGAUCAGUUACAAAGCCGGAUGGCCUUUUGGUUACCGGUACGUUGCCCCCCUCGGCUCGAGUUGUCCGCUCGGGUAAGCCAGGUCUAGAACAAUACACCCAGGAUUUAAACUUAGAAGAACAUAGCCUCAUGCCUGAUCUCUAGUAGGUACGCUUGUUUGCAUCACGUGUAUUUGACUUUGGGGACUCAACACAUGGGUUGAGUCCGUCUAGGACAGGUGUACCAAAAUUAAAAGACCACCCUGAUGCAUCUUACAUGCUACUUGUGUAUUUAUUUGAUCUGGUUUGUAUGUUGACCGAUUUUUAGAAUAUGGAAAUAAAAUUGGAAAAAAAACUAAGAGAGGGAGAAUAAGAGAGUGAAAUUCACCUGAUUCCCAUACAAUCCAUGUGUUAAAAAAUCGAAUUCUGUCUGAUUUUACUCCAAAUGUGUUGAAAAUAUACUAAGAUUUUGAAAUAUUCCCCGCUUUUGACCGAACUACGCGGGUUUGAUUCUCACCGGAUGUGAGAUACGUAGGCAAACCUCAUCGGUUCCGGCCCAUAAUUUUUAAAAAUUCAAAAAUAUUUUCCUUUACUUCCUUAGAAAAGUCUUUCUUUGAGACCCCAAUUUUAAAAAAAAAAAAUCCAAAAAUAUUUUCUUUUAAUUUCUUAUAAAAAUCCAAAACUAUUUUUAUUCUUCUUCAGAAGUUUUUCUUUCGAAAAUUAGAAAAGAAAAUUCAAGAUUCAAAAAUAUUUUCUUUUUUUUCUUUAGAAGUCUUUUCUUUCAUGAAUUCAAAAUAAAAGUCCAAAAAUCCAAAAAAUAUUUCCUUUCUUCUUUAGAAGUUUUUCUUUUAAAAUUCCCAAAACAAAAAAAAAUAUAUAGAAGUUCAAAAAAAAAAAAUUCUUCCUUCAUAGAAGUCUUUCUUUCAAAGAAAAAAAAAAACAACAAAAAUUCAAAAAUAUGUUUUUUUUCUCUUUUUUGGAAGUCUUUCUCCCAAAAUUCAAAAACAAAAACAAAAACAAAAGCCAAAAAGAUUUUUCUUUCUUAUGUAGAAGUCCUUCUUUCGAAAAAAAAGAAAAUAAGUCGAAAUCCAAAAAUAUUUUCUUUCUUCUUUAUAAUCUUUCUUGAAAUUAAAAAAAAAUUAUUAGUUUAUUUCCUUUAUUCCUGAUCUUCCCGAACUACGCAUACCUAAUUCUCGUCUUUCAAGGCGGGAUACGUAGGCAACCCACUUAGGGUCCAGUCUUCCUAGUGAGUCUUAAGUUCUUGGCUUCGGUGGUCGUAGCCAAAUCUUGCAUGCCUAGCCACGUUUGGCCACAUCGAUCAUUUUGUAAAAUAAGGCUAUUUUUUCAAAGUGGUUUGUUAACACAUGUCUUAGAGUCCUAAGUCCACAACAAGAUGUCUCUCAUUUUAAGGUCCAUUCUUGUUGAAUUUGCAUGCUUAGCCAUUUUUCGGCCACAUAGGCCAUUUCUGCAAAGUAGAGUCUUUUUUGCAAAGCAAUUUUAGGGACCGCGAUUCCUGAGAGUUUAUGGGCCUUCGUGAGAUGGUUUGGAUCCACUUACUAGAGGUUGAGCAUGACAGACGCCCUAGGACCAUCCCAUUUAGGAUCGUUGCCUUCAGAAGUUGUUUGAGGAGACUUUAUAUUUUUGAGUCUGUUUUCAUAUUUUCUUUUACUUUCUGGUCUUGUCUAGUAGUAUUGAGUCUUGUAGGUGGUGUCAGAGUCUGUCAUAGUCUAGCUGAGUCUGUCAUAUUUUUUUUGUCAUCGUACUUCCCAUUUUGUAUUUGAAAACCAAAAAAAGUUAUAAACGAAAAAAUCCAAAAAGAUUUUUGUUUUUAGUUUAUUUUGUCCAUCACUUUUUCAGAACUAUGCUUGGUCUGAUUUUCACCGGAUGUGAGAUACGUUGGCAACCUACAUCGGGUUCGAUCGAAUUAUUUUCAAAAGAAAAAAAGAGGUAUUCCAAAAUAAAGGUUGACUCGUGACAAGUUUGGAGUUGAACAAACACUAUUCCAAUACUAUUCAACCAAAAGCAAUUUUGGCCAGAAAUGAUAACUCAUGUACUUUCAAGACCAUUCCCAUCUUCUUUCAAUCCAUCUUCACAUCAAAAGAUAACAUAGACCAUGUACCACUCGAUACAAACCGUCACUUCCCUCCCUGCCUUGACCCUUUUUGAACACUUCAAGGUCUUGAUUAAUUAAAAGGAUUCAUUGAGCUGAUUCAAAAUGGAGGAUAUCAAUGUCCCUUGGUCUCACAUGCCAAUAAUAGCCUACGACCUUAUCCAAAGGACUCAAGAAUAGUGCAGAUCUCAAUCCUUUUUCGUGCCAAAGGGACUUGUUUGUGGUUUUAAUUUGGUCAUUCUUUCGAAUAGACCUGUUCAAUCAGAGGUUUUGGAUCGUGUUUUUCUUUGUCUUGUUCAACCCCCAUGUCCUUUUCACCUUUCUCUCUUAAAUGAAAUCUUUUACCCAUUCCCCAUUGUUAUUGCAUUUUCUCAUUCACAUUCAUUACAGUUCAUCAUCUUCUAGCCUAAUUAAUGUGACAUGUGUCUUGACGAGUGGCAAGGUUUAGACAUCAGCACAAGCUUUCAGGUGAUGAGUUAUAAAAUAAUGAAGUUCCGAGGGAAAAGAUGAUAAUGAAUUUCACAUUUAGGAAGAAACAAGUUUUUGAGCUAAUGAUAAGCAUCUUAAGGGCUCAAUUGAAGAGAGAAUUUGCAAGUAGAAUCUAAAGAAAUUUUAGUUCUAUCCUCCAGAUGUAUGUUAAUCCUUCAGGAUGUUCCAGGUAAAAUCAGUGUGAACCAUGUCUUGAGUUGGCAUUUUUAGAGUUGAAAUGACGAAAGGCUAUCUUUCUGCUAUCCAAACACUAAUACCAUUUGUUAGCCCUUUGAGCCUUAAUAUAUUUGUCUUUUAUUGGCAACCCUCUUUUGGAAUCAAGUAUUUGUUAAGGCUUAAAAUGGUCCCGGUUUGAAUUUAAUAUUCAAAAAAAAAAAUGAAAAAAAAAUAGAGAGAUCCUCUUACCAUGUAGUUCUUUGAACUACGUUCGACCUGAUUCUUAUUACCACAAGAUACGUAGGCAGCCUUACGGUUCGGUCACACCAAAUAAAAUAUUUCAUAAUCCCACGAAGUCAAGAGCGGGGCAGUUUUUUAGAAAUUCCAUCUCAAAAAGAAAAGAAAAAGAAAAGUAAAAGGAAAAAAAAGAAAAAAAAAGAAGAAAAAAACUCAAAUUCUCUUGUUUCAAAAACUGGGGCAAAGUUUUUAAAAUGGAUUCCAAAAGUUGUAAAUAAAGUAACCUUGUCAUUAUAAUUUUGAGCCUCCAUGUGGUCCUUUCUUUCUUACCCUGUCCAAAAGCCUUCAUUACGGUCCAAAUAAAAGUCCUUAUCAGAUCGAUUCCUGAAAAUAUCAAGUCAAGCAUGUUGUGAGCUUAUCAAGAUUUUUGUGAAAAUUAAUACGAUUGAAGGGGUAGUCAAUUAGCCAAGCUAUGAAUGAAAAGCGGCAUUGAAUGAGAGCAAAGAGGAAAAUGAGAGACUUGUUGGUGAAAAUCUUUCGAGGCACUACAAGUUGAAAUGGUGAGAUAUGUGUGCAACAAAAUGUCUUUGAUUAAAACAUGCAAUAUCUGUGGCACAUUUGGAGGAGCAAAGUAGAUCAACUCUUCAACAUCAGGUAAGGAUUUGACGAGUCAACAAGUUUGGAAAGAUGGACAAAUCAAGUUAUUGGUCUAAACACAUGACACAUUCAUUUGCCUUAUUCUUCAAUUUAGAUAAGCUCUCCUUCUUCUAAGUGGAAUCUCAUCAUACACCACUUUUUUUGAUUUUUACUUGUGCAUUUAUUCUUCUUCUUUUUCUCAAGAUAAGCAAGAAAGAAUUUUCAAAUUUUCCAUAAAUAGGUCCCAAAUUAGAAAGGGAGGUGAUCAAUUUGACAAUCAAUGUAAAGAGACGCUCAAUUCGGCAAUCCAAGUAAAAGAGAAAUAACUUGUUUGGCAGUACAACUAAAAUAAAUUAAUUAAUUUUGGGAAUUUGAGUGAAGUGACGUGAACAAACUUGAUCGAAUCCCAUGGGAAAAUCACUCUGGAUCUUCUUCGAAACCAAUGAAAAUGAACCCUAGCAAGCCAAGUCAAAUAAUAAUGCUUAAAAGUCAACUUGCAAGUUUGUCACGAGUCAACCAAUUAUUUUUAAUUAAAAAAAAAAGGAAAAAAGAGAAAACAAAAUCAUGUAUUUGUUUUAAUUGAAGCAUAGGCUGUUUGAGAAUCUCAUUACCCUCGGAUAUUUUUUUAGUUGAGAAGAACCAUACCUCCUAGGUAUUACCCCUAGUUGAAAAGAAUCUUUAGCUUUCUUUAAGUUCAGGGGUCCUGCCUGGAAAAUAGGAUCAGUUUUUAUUCUAGUCAAGCUCAGUUUACAGUUUUCCUCAGGCUCAAUCUCAUAUAUAGGAGACGCACUUCCUAGUUUGAGUUAUUCAGUUUCUAGGAGAUGCACUUCCUAGUUCAAGUUUCACCCCUAGGAGACGCACUUCCUAGUCUGGGUCUUUCAGAUCAUUCUUUUAGGAGACGCACUUUCUAAAUUGAGAUUUCACUUCUAGGAGACGCACUUCCUAGUUUGGGUAGUUUGAAUUCAUCCUUAGGAGACACACUUUCUAGUUUGGGUAGUUUGAGUUCAUCCUUAGGAGACGCACUUCCUAGUUUGGAUCAUUCAAGUGUCACCCCUAUGAGGCGCACUUCCUAGUUUGGGUCAUUCAGGUUUUAUUUUUAACAGACGCAUUUGCUAGUCAAAAUUUCUUGGUUUUACUCACAGGAGAUGCACAUCCUAGUCGAGUCUUUAGUUUUAGUCUCAUCAUUGCAUCCUUCAUCGAAAGCAUAGGUGAUUUACAAUUUUGCUAACAACUCACAAAUCUUCCUAGUGCAAACUGGGGCAGAAAAUUUUGUUUGUUUUGUUUGUUUUGUUUAUUUUGAUUGCAGGCACCUACCUGGAGUACAAGGGGGAAUAUUUCAGCAAUCGUUUUUAGGUUCAAGUCAGAAGUACCAGGAGCCUACCUGAAGAACAUGGUCAACUUUUAGUUUUCAAGUUACAUGUCAGUAGCAGGCGUCCACCUGGAGAAUGAGGGAAUUUAUUUUAAGUUUCAAGUCAUUAGCAGGCGCCCACCUGGAGAAUGAGGAAAUUUAUUUCAAGUUUCAAGUCAUUGGCAGGCACCCACCUGGAGAACGAGAGAAUUUAUUUCAAGUUUCAAGUCAUUGGCAGGUGCCCACAUGGAUAAUGAGGGAAUUUAUUUCAAGUUCAAGUCAUUGCCAGGCGCCCACCUGGAGAAUGGGGGAAUUUAUUUCAAGUUCAAUGCAUUAGCAGGCGCCCACCUGGAGAAUGAGGGAAUUCAUUUUAGUUUUACGCAGCAGGCAGGCGCCCACCUGGAGAAUGAGAGAAUUUAUUUCAAGUUCAAGGCAUUAGUAGGGGCUCACCUGGAGAAUGAGGGAAUUCAUUUUAAGUUCAAGGCAUUAGCAGACGCCCACUUGGAGAAUGAGAGAAUUCAUUUUAAGUUUCAAGUCAUUAGCAGGCGCCCACCUGGAGAACGAGGGAAGUCAUUUCAGAAUUCACUUAGAGUUCGAGUUAGAGGCACCAGGAGCCCGCCCGAAGAAUAUGAUCAACUUUCAAUUUUCAAGUUCAAGUUAGAGAGGCAUCAAAAGCCCGCCUGAAGAACAGGGUCAACUUUCAAUUUUCAAGUUCAAGUUAGAGAGGCAUCAGGAACCCACCUGAAGAACAUGGUCAACUUUCAAUUUUCAAGUUCAAGUUAGAGAGGCAUCAGGAGCCCGCCUGAAGAACAGGGUCAACUUUCAAUUUUAAUGUUCAAGUUAGAGAGGCAUCAGGAGCCCGCCUGAAGAACAGGGUCACUUUUUAAUUUUCAAGUUCAAGUUAGAGAAGCAUCAGGAGCCUGCCUGAAGAACAAGGUUAAUUUUCAGUUUACAAGUUCAAGUCGGAGAGGCAUCAGGAGCCCACCUGAAGAACAGGGUCAACUUUCAGUUUAAGUUCAAGUUAGAGAAGCAUCAGGAGCCCGCCUGAAGAAUAGGGUCAACUUCCAGUUUUCUUCAAAUUCAAGUCAGCAGGAUACCCGCCUGAAGAAUGGGGUGAAUUUUCAGUUUCAUGUUGAAAGAUCAAGUGGAGAUUCAAGGAAUAUUCAAGACAAGAAGUAGAUAGGACCUUGUAUUUUUAUUUUAUUUUUGAUGUAAUAUUUUCUUUCAAUUUAUGAUGUAAUGGCAGGGACCGCGGACCGGAGCCUCGAACGGUACCUCACUCGACUCUCUCAUCCUCUUCACACACUCCAUCACUUCAUUCACUUCUGAACUACACGUGGCCUGAUUCCUUUAUAGCCAAAGAUAUGUAGGCAGCUCAGAUAUCAAGACUCGGUCACAAUCAUUUUGAAUAAGUGUCGGGUCAGAAAUCAAUUACAUCGCUUACUUGAUUCUUUGCUCAAAAACACUUCGUGUUUCCAAGCAAAGAGGGGCAGCUGUAAGCACGUAAUUUUUGACCCGCACAACUUUUAAAAGUAGUAUUUCAAAAAUAUUUGUUUAUUUUUAUUUUUAAUAGGAUUUCAGUCAACUUUUAGUUUUAAUUUUAAAACAUAAGUUUGAAAACACAAAAAUAGUUUUAUAACGUUUAUUUAGCUUAUUAGUAUUUUAUAACAUUUAAAAAAAAUCAAAAAUAUUUUUAUUUUAAUAUAUAGUUCUCUUUAAUAAUGUAUUCUUAUUAACUAAUGUUAAUUAGCAUAUUUUGGUAGUAUUUUUAUUUUUAUUUUUAUUCAAUGAGAAAGAAUUGAAUUUGGGCCAAUUGGGAGCUCAUUUUCAGAUUUUAGUUGCCUAGCAAGAUAAAGGUCCAUUCUUCCAAAUCCCAUUUAGUCCAAAUUCUUUUCUCACCCAUCAAACCCCCAUUAAUCAUAGCCAUCGAUCUACUCUCAUCCAAUGACCCAUAUCCCAUCUAUCCACAAUAUAAAAACAUAAUGAAAAACUAAAUAAAGGAGGAGCUAACCUAAUUCCUAAGGCUAGAAUGAACAGACCCCUUUUUCUGAAAAUACACCCAACCCUAGCCGCCCCUUCUCCUUCACUCUCUCAUUCACACCCACUCUUUCUAGCAGAGAACAUACACUCUUUUCUUCUCGUUUCUCUCUAAUUUCGUCAACACACAUACGCAAUUCAGGGAGCUAAAGGAAAAAUCAUAGACACACCCAGAUAGAAAAAGAAAAACUCUGCCUAUUUCUAAAAGCUCAAUAAUAUGGAUAUUUGGCAAGCUAAAACGGGAUCCCAAGCUAUUUCAGUUUCAAUUCAUCUACACUUUUUUUUUUUGGAAAUUCAAAUGACUUAUUGAGCUGUGAAAUACUGUCUGACUGCUGAUUUGCCGGGUCAUUGUUGCUGAGCUCCUCACGUAUCUUUUCUGGACUUUAUUUGUCUAUUUUGAAUCUUCAAUGGGCUGUUGAGGUAUGAACUUGAUUUUCAGUCAUGUAAUUAUUUGAUUGGAUAUUGUAAUGCCAUGAAUUUGCAAUAAUCUUCUCUGUUUCAUGUGUUCAAAAUAUUUUCCAUUAUCACCUGCCAAACUAAUUUAAUUUUGAACUACUCGGGUACAUGAAAGUAGUACAGAUCCAUGUAGGAAAGGUGCUAUGAUGUUUGCACAAGCAUUCAUAUUAUAAUUAAUCCGUGCUUCACAUAAACAUGACUGUUUAUUUAAAGUAGGAUUUGAAAGUGAGAAUUUUAGGUUAAUUUGAGAAUAUAAAAGCAAUCAGCAUCAAUCCAAGAAUUUGAUUAGUGUUAAAUGGACUUGGAAUGAUAAAACAGGGGUGAAAGAGGCAAUUCAUGUUUUCUUAAUCAUAUUCUUUGUCACCAAGUUUUUGUCCUUUCCUGUUAAAAUUUCAAAUAAGCAUUAUUCAUGAGAUUGGGUCGCACGUACACUGAUUUCCCCAAAACAAUUCCAUAACUCAUAGACCUAUACAUUAAUCUCAAACUUUAGGAAAAGUAAACAAUUCUUUUGAACACCGUAGCUUGCUUUAGGUGCGAUUAAUAAAUCAUCGUGGUCAUGGGUACGGUUCUCGUGGCAUGGCCAUGAUACAUAAAUCUCAAUUCGAGUGCGCGUUUCACGCGACUUGACCCUAACUUCAAAUAAUAAUAAAAUAAACAUGUUGUAUUUUACAUGACGUGAUUUGCAAUAUGUACAAAAACGAGUGCGCGACAUCGCGACUCGUUCAAAUAAAUUCCAUAAAUAUUAAAGCGGUUAAUUAAUUAAAAGCAAUUAAAAGUUAAAAAUACACAAUAGAUUUUAAACAUGUAAUAAAUUAGAUAAUUAGGCCAAUUAUUAAUAGUUGAGCGAUCGUGCUAAAACCACGGAACUCGGGAGUGCCUCACAUCUUCUCUCAGAUUAACAGAAUUCCUUACCCGGUCUUCUGUGUUUGCGGACCACGAAUAAGAGUUAAUUUUCUCGAUUUGGGAUUUAAAAUAAACGGUGACUUGGGACACAAUAAAUUAUUCCAAGUGGUGACUCUGAUUUAAUAAAUAAUCUCAUUUCGAUUAAUGUCACUUUAAUUGAAAAAACUCUCUAUUCCCAUAUCCUCUUGGGAAAAAGGAGGGGUGACAAAUCUUUCAACAGAGACAACCUCACGAUCGGAGGCAGCAAGAACGACAUUUUGGACUUCAACCCAUUUGGCCGUAGUUUCUUCAAAUUGUGCCCUUAACGGGGAAAUCUACUAGCUAAGGGUUACCACUUCUUGCUCGCUUUGCUGCAACCGAGCCUCCAAUUCAACGGCCUCAGCAGCUCGUGCUUCCAGUUCUAAGAGACGAGCAGCAUUCUGGUCUCGCUCGGCCAAAAGUUGAUCCCGUUGGGAGGUAAGUUCCUCCUUAUCACGAAUAAGCCUUUGAACGCCCUCGGAAGUAAGGAAGUUGGCCUACAAAACAAAAAUACAAAUUCAAAAUCCUACCAUAACAAAGAUAGAAGAAAUAACGACGGAAACAAAGAAUAUACCAUUGUUGUGUUAUGCAUGGCGUUGUUCAAUAAACACUCUCCCGGGAGAGUUUGUAUCUUAUCCCUAUCUUUUUCUGAAGCCAAAGGCAUCAGAUAGUUAGCAAGCUCUACCGGUCGGGAUAACAGAUGGCUUCCGUCAAAGACCGAGAGGGUAAUGUUUCUCCUCCUUUGGGGAUCUUCGGAGGAGACAACAUAUUUUUUCCCCAAAUUCCCAUGAAUUGGGGACUGGGAAAGAGGGACAUCCGCCUCUCAGGCAGCUAGGGUCGGUGGAGAUGAUGUAGCAGUUGCUGAUGGCGAAGGAAGAGUUGGAGAAGAGGGAGAUGAAGUAGAUGGCAUUUUAGGAUGAGAAGUGGCUACGACAAAUACAGUGUUGGUUGUUGGUUUCUCGUCACCGAAGACGGAAGGGACCCAGUACUCAACCUCAUAGUAUCGGGCGCGACAACUGGGACUCAGAAGCGAGAGUUAGCAUCUUCCACCAUAUCGAACUCCCCCUAGAGUGCCGAAACAUCAUCCUCGGUUGGUGUAACUAGCUCAACAGAUUGAGCAUUCUGUUGAGCUGAUGAAGGUCGUCGUCUUCUAUGUGGAGAAGCCCCCUCAUCAAUGGCUUCUCCAUCAUCGUUAAUUACCACAGUUUCUGGAGUCGGCUUGGGUGCGGCGCUCAUUUCUACGACAUCCGGGGAUGGCUCAUGCGCUUCAUUCUUUACUUUUUUGUUCUUUCCCCCGGUAGCGGAGGAGCGUCGUCUUUUUGGUUGCUUGUUCUCCAGCCAGGGACUCCGAGAAGAAGCACUUGUACCAUAAGCAGGCUUGGAGACACCUAUUCGGGUAAAAGCCUCCUACAGCAGCCUCGUCGCAUCAGUAGUAUUAGCCAAAACGUCUUCCUCAAGAAUGACAAUUAAGCCCUGGGGUAGAUCUGAAUUUAGCAAGAGAAAAAGGGUUAAUCAACUUUCUUAUACGAAAGGGAAGACAAGAUGAGUUUAACCUACCAUGAUUUUUGGCCUUCCACUCAUAUUUAAUGGCUAGUUCUUUUCACGUACGGGUCUCGGGCAUAGUAACAUCCAAAAUCUUUUGGACCCACUAGUCCAAACCUUCGACCAUCGGUAGAACCCACCGAGUUAUUGAAACAAAUGAAAGAAGAAGAAUCAAUAUCAGCAUGGGAUGAUCUUUAGCUAGAGGAACAAACGAUGAACUUACGAGUACGGCUCCACAAUUCCGGAAAGGAUGAAGCCGUGGCCGGAAUGAUAUCCCCGGUGACAAUUGCAACGAACCAUUCCAUCCACCCAGGGUCGUUGUCAUCAUCCAUGCUAGCUAGCAGAGUAUAGUUGCCACGUUUGCUGAAAUUUAUAAUUUCCCCACAAAAAAUCUUGGGGGAAUAGAGGUUCAUUAAUCGAUCUAGGGUUAACUCCUUUUCCGUCUCCUGGCACUGACGCAGAAGACAAGUGAUUGUCCUUUACACAAAAGGACUUACUUGUGCCAGGCAUACCUGGUAACGGAUGCAGAACUCCAUAAUAACAGAGUCAAGUUUCUCACUCAAAGAGAACGACCCCAAAGUGAAGGGAUACGUAUAAAAAUACGUAAAACCCUUCUUGGGCAAAGUUAUCCGCUCUGCCAGAUCAUGAGCGAUAAUGUCUAAAUCUUGGCAAUGGCAGUCUUCCUUCACAGCAUGAAUACUAGAAGGACGGAUGGAAGAAGGGUACACGCCAAUGGCCCACGUGCGAGGGUUAGCAGAAGGAUACUUCUCUUCGAAGUCUUUAGUUGUGACAAGAAUUCUUGGGAUGAUGAUGCUCACCGUAGGAGGAGCAUCAUUAUCAGCUUUACCUUUAUUUUUUGAAGAUCUAAGGUUUUUUGAAGAAGAAGCCAUUUUUAUCAGAAAGGAAGGAAGGAUUUUUCUGGAGAAGAAGGUUAAAGAAAGGUUGAAAACAAAGUACGAGUUGAGUACAGAGAGUUUGAGAAAGUUUGGAUAAUUAUGAAGUGUAAAUGAAGAAAUUUGAUGUGUAUAAGUAAAGGAAUAUGCGGCUAAAAUUGUAGCCAUAAUUACCUCGAUAACGGGCAAAAGUGAUGCUAAAUUGUGGGAUGACGCAUGUUCGGGGCAUUAAAUACGGAGAUACGUGCGUCUAAUUAACUGUCAGAAACUUUUCAGAAGGGGUCAGAGAAUUUUCCGCCAAAAAAGGUAUCUCUACCAACUUCCUUGUGACAAAAAGUUAUGCCACUAGAAAGCGGGGGUACUAUCUGUAUGGGGUAAAAUAUAUUCAUAUUUGAUGUACACAUAAGAAAGUGACAGUGGAGCCAAAGACAGAAGACAGUCGGGCCCAAGGACAGUGAUCUUGCUUGUUAUCGGAUAGAAUAAUAUUCAUAAAGGUGAAGUACAUGCCUACCACCUGGUAGCAUUUAAUGAAGAAUAUUCUAUAGUAUUAAGUGCAUGGCUCGUUGCAGAGAAUAAGGCAUUUAUUGCCUACCGUUACACACUCUUCAAUGGCCCGCAUAAUUAUCAUUUAAGAGGGGUUUGAUCCUAGAACCUUGUUCC